rnacentral:rRNA from 1 species
UACGUAGGGGGCAAGCGUUAUCCGGAUUUACUGGGUGUAAAGGGAGCGUAGACGGUUAUGCAAGUCUGAAGUGAAAGCCCAAGGCUCAACCAUGGGACUGCUUUGGAAACUGUAAAACUGGAGUGCAGGAGAGGUAAGCGGAAUUCCUAGUGUAGCGGUGAAAUGCGUAGAUAUUAGGAGGAACACCAGUGGCGAAGGCGGCUUACUGGACUGUAACUGACGUUGAGGCUCGAAGGCGUGGGGAUCAAACAGG